CGCAGCACAAACGGUCCGUGGAGAACUAACGCGUGCGCCCGGAGCCUCUCCUUGUGCCACCUUUUCAUCCCUUCCUCCCGUCCCUGCCGAUCCCCGCCGCCGGUGCCGAUCCGGUGUCUGUCCUUGUAUAUUGAGUUGCAUUCUCUAGGUUAUUUUUUAGGGCCGAGUAGUAUUCCACCGUACGGACCCAGCACAUUGCUUCUGCACGCGUGUCGCGUGGAUGAACAUUCGUGCUGUUUCCAGCCCAAAUAAAGCCGCCGGGAGCAUUGCACGUUCACAUCUCUGGAAUCCUUCUACAAAAGAGUAAAGUUAAAAACCAGGGCCCUGGCAAGAAGGUACCAGCCAGAUGGGACGGGAUCGGACCGGAUGUGGCAAACUCAGUGAGAUCGCUUGCACGACGUGGUGGCACCAGUGACAAUGGGAGAAGUUGACGGGCAGAUCUGACACAUUUGACACUUAGGAGGAAUACAGCUUGGCAAAAACACAUCCAAGGACACCACGUGUGAUUUCCUCCGCGCUGAUUUUGGAAGCUGGGAUGUUUCUGCAUACGCGCAUCAGCAACAUCUAAGCCAACACUCCUCUGGGCCUGUUUCAAACAGCACAUUGAUAUGCCCUGAGCUCUUCUCCGAGUGACCAAGGGCCCACGUCCGUCCACUGCACUGUGAACAGCAGCGGGAAAGCCCUCGAGAACACAGAGGAAAUAGAUGCUAUGUUGUUUGGAAAUAUUUACAUUGGGAAGCCAUCACGUACGCAGAUUUUUUUUUUUUUUCAUUUAAAGCCGUGUUUUUGCCCUUUAUCCAUAUUUUGGCUACGUUUGUUUUGUUUGGAUAGUGAAAGCAUGUGUCAUUGUCAGCUGUUGUUGUUGUUGUUUUAAAUGUCUUUUGGCUUUCUGCAACAGCAAUGUCAAUUACAACAAAAUUAAAGAUGAGGUCUAAGGAAACAGUAAUUUUUGUGUUUGCCGCGCAGAACAUUUAUAAAAUUUACUUUUACAGCAGCAUUAGUAAAAACUGGAGCAAAAAUACUAAAAAUAGAUGAAGAAAAAAAUUACAAAGAACCUGGAAAAAAGAAAAGCAUUUCUGUUAAAUAUUUAUUGUUAUUUCGAGAGAGCUUAGGCGUACGUGUUUUUUUUUUCUCACAUGGAUGUCAUAUUCAUAUUGCUCCUGUUUUAGUCUUAACUGUAUUCUUUAUGGUUGUCUUUUCUGCUUAAAUGCAGAGUUGUUCAGAUUGUUAUUUCUGUGUAAGAUAUGUUACCCAAUGGGGAGGGUUGAGAAAAAAUAAAAUGGUUUUCUUCAGCCAUUUAAUAUCGGGA